rnacentral:rRNA from 1 species
CUUAGUGACCAUAGAGUCCUGGACCCACCUGAUCCCAUCUCGAACUCAGAAGUGAAACAGGUCAUCGCCAAUGGUAGUGUGGGGUCUCCCCAUGUGAGAGUAGGACAUUACUAGGC